AUGGAAAAUAGCCUCUUGCAGUCGUUGUCAUCCGCGCACUGCAACAAUCUACGGAUGACCAACAUACGUCUCAAGGACAGCACCGACAAGAACAUGAUCCUGUAUGAUUGCAGGCAGGUGCAGGUGCACAACGUCUCCAUCACGUCGCCUAGCGACAGCCCCAACACCCAUGGGAUCAACAUGGGCUCCUCCAACCAUGUAAACAUCUCGUCUUGCUCUAUGCACACCGGUGAUGAUUGUGUGUCGAUUCUAUUUGGAACUACCGAUGUUAACAUCACUAACACCACCUGCAGGCCUGGCCAUGGCAUCAGCCUUAGAGGUGCUAGUGACGGCCCAGCGCUGGUGGAAAGAAUUACAGUAUCCAACUGUAGCUUCUUCAAUAGGACGGCCGUCCGGUUGCCUAUCGACAUCGACCAGUUUUAUUGCCCCCGGGAAACUAUCAAGAACGGGAUGGUGGUGUGGCCACAACGAACGCUUGAUUCAUCGACAUCCAGGGAAGGUCCUCAGAACGAGAGGCCAUCAAGAUCAUGUGCAGAAAGAGCGUGCCGUGCCGCGGCAUCUACCUUGAAAACAUUGACCUCUCUUGGGCCAACCACAGUGCCCCAACACAAGCUGUUGUUCAGAAUGCCCAUGGAAGCGUCACGGGCACGGGCCUGUCCUGAGAUUCCAGAGGCCCUCGGCGAAACGAAAAUCCGAGACGCCCAAAAGAUAGCGCCGCACAUAGGCACAGUAAUCCUGGAGCUUGGAGAUCAGGCGUCACACAUAGGCUUGGUCGUGGUCGUAGGGUUUGAGUGA
rnacentral:rRNA from 1 species